rnacentral:tRNA from 1 species
GGAAUUGUGGCUCAGUGGUAGAGCACUUGCCUAGCACACGAGGCACUGAGUUCAAUCCUCAGCACCA